rnacentral:rRNA from 1 species
AUUGAACGCUGGCGGCAGGCCUAACACAUGCAAGUCGAGCGGAUGAAGGGAGCUUGCUCCUGGAUUCAGCGGCGGACGGGUGAGUAAUGCCUAGGAAUCUGCCUGGUAGUGGGGGAUAACGUCCGGAAACGGGCGCUAAUACCGCAUACGUCCUGAGGGAGAAAGUGGGGGAUCUUCGGACCUCACGCUAUCAGAUGAGCCUAGGUCGGAUUAGCUAGUUGGUGGGGUAAAGGCCUACCAAGGCGACGAUCCGUAACUGGUCUGAGAGGAUGAUCAGUUACACUGGAACUGAGACACGGUCCAGACUCCUACGGGAGGCAGCAGUGGGGAAUAUUGGACGAGGGGCGAAAGCCUGAUCCAGCCAUGCCGCGGGUGUGAAGAAGGUCUUCGGAUUGUAAAGCACUUUAAGUUGGGAGGAAGGGCAGUAAGUUAAUCCCUUGAUGUUUUGACGUUACCAACAGAAUAAGCACCGGCUAACUUCGUG